ACACAGGGAUAGAAGGUCUGAUGGACCUAAUCAAAUAUCAUAUUUGGACACCAGAAGAAAACAGUGAAACAGUUUCCUUCUGUCUUCAUCAGCUGAUGUAUGCCAAAAAAUUUGAAAAUCCAGGAGAGUUUUAAGUUCCAUAAUCACAUUUAGCAAUGGCCAAAGGCACCACACAGCUACCACUAUUACAAAUACAUGGUCAGAAAAAUCUAUAAAGGCGCCUUAGUGAAAAGAAAUGACCACAAAAUUCCG
rnacentral:misc_RNA from 1 species